rnacentral:tRNA from 1 species
GGCUUGGUAGCUUAGUUGGAAAAGCACUUGUCUAGCGAAUAAGGGUCGUGAGUUCAAAUCUCACCUGAGCUG